GAGAAGGGUGUCUCUGCAGAGCCGGAGAGCCCUGCAGCUGCAGUUCUACGCGUGUAAAACUGCAGGAGGCGGAGUCUCGAAAUCAUGUAACCGCCCCCUUUUUUUCUCCUCUUCGUUUUCGUGUUCUUUGGAGAAGAGUUGUCAAUAGUAUGCAAUGGUCUGUAGUGGAGUUUGUUGAUCGAACCGUGAGUAUUAAAUGUGAAUCCCACAAUUUAUUUAGCGUCUCCAAAAUCGUUCACUUGAUUUGAAUGAGAAAUGAAUGUGUGGUUGUGCGGACGUUAAUGAUAUUUACCAUGAUAGUCUGGAAGACACGUCGAAUAUUUAUGUUGGUUAAGCCAGCUAAAGCUAUUGUUAGCUUGUCGGAAUUGUGCACUCCACAACCUCUCCAUGCAGGAAGCUGAGGAGGUCUUCCAUUCUGGUCCGCCAAUUCAUCAGAGGUAAAAAAAUAAUAAAACAUAACACAAAUUAGCUGAAAUCCUUACUAUAACUAAGAAAUUGUAAAUUCUUCAAUUUACAAUUUCAGGUCUUUCAGUUUUUUCUUUCAGGUUUUUCAGUUUCAAAUAUUAAUUUACCCAGCAGUGAUUAUUUUCAUUUCCUAUUGUAGUGAAGUGGAAGAAUUCAGUCGGUCGAUCGAAAAGAAAAUGAAGAGGGAAGGAAACCUCUGAAUGGUAUGUAGAGCUGUUACAUACUUCACAAUCUGGGCUUUAAAUAUCUAAGUCAAAUGUCAAACAUUUUAUUUCUAUCAUGUAUCUUUCUUUCAGGACUCAUCCAUUCUGAUAUUUCACAUGAGGCUGCACAAGUCCUGCAACAAGUUUGUUUGUUAAUAAAAAAAUAUGUUUACUACAAGA
rnacentral:lncRNA from 1 species